UGGAGUUUACUUUACACUUUUAUUUCUUUUUAAGGAUAAUUUUUAAUAUUUACAUGCAUUAUAUUUAUUUCUAUUUGUUAUUUUUAUUCUGUCUGUAGAUAAAAAUGUAGUUAUCUUUGUUUAAAUGUACAUUAUUUGUUUAUCUAUACAUUCAAUGUUGAAAUCCUAUAGACAGUCUUGCAUAUGCUUACUAUAUGUAAGUUAACUUAAUAAACUUGUCCUGUUUAACGCAUUUCACAAAUCGGAUGAAAAACUUUCGAGUUUUUGGAGACAUAAUUAAAAAUCAGUUGAUUAAAGAUGUAUUGACAUGAUUUGACAGAAAAAUUUGAAAGAAGCAAUCUGAAUGGUACUGGAAUUAUUCUUGAUAAUGAGAUAAAUUAAGCGAGUCAGCAUAUGAUUAGUAAGGUUAUGCGAGACUGGCCAAUGAUGUAUGUCCAAAACUCAAGUAAUUGAGUUGCCUUUUUCAUGUUUCAGUUUCCUUUUUCCAAUUAAGUCUAGCUAAUGAUUCAAUCAAACAAUGAUUAAGAGUUUUAUGACUCAUUUUAUAUAUGAUCUGUGAUAUUAAGUUAUUAAAUAAAAUUGAUUGAAA
rnacentral:sRNA from 1 species